rnacentral:rRNA from 1 species
UACGUAGGCAGCGAGCGUUGUUCGGAGUUACUGGGCGUAAAGAGUGCGUAGGCGGUUUUCUAAGUUUGGUGUGAAAUCUCCCGGCUUAACUGGGAGGGUGCGCCGAAAACUGGAAGGCUUGAGUAUGGGAGAGGUAAGCGGAAUUCCUGGUGUAGCGGUGAAAUGCGUAGAUAUCAGGAGGAACACCUGCGGUGUAGACGGCUUACUGGACCAUAACUGACACUGAGGCACGAAAGCGUGGGGAUCAAACAGG